CGAAAUGAAACGAAAAUGAAUGUUAGAGGCUUAGAGCAGGUUGCAGGUUAUGGAGCUGGCGUAUUGUAUUCGCUCAUUCGGCUUAUAAUUUAGCUUAGUCCAUUUAGAUUUUUCGAAAUAGCAACAGCUCACGCUAACAAGGUCACUUGUGGGAUUGGACUGUGUACUAUAUGGACACAGUAAGUACGGUGAUGUUUACCAGAAAACCCAAAUUUCUUCAGCCAGCCCAAAAUUCUACAGCACGUCUUACCAUUUGUCUUUGGUAUCUAUCGAAAACUCGUCUUCAUAAUGCCGAAGUAAGCCUUUCCAUUUUGUCAUGAAACCUACAUUGUCUGAUUUUGCGUCUUCCCAGCAGUACAGUGUACAUUCUCCACUUUUUAAAAGUAAAACAAUCCCAAAGGAUGUCGGUCACUGCACCUCAUUGUAAGUUAAAACAUAACUAUUUAUACCGGAGAUGCACUUGUAAUGAAACACAUCUAAUGUUCUGGAGUACUAUUACUAAGUGCCGACCCAACUUGGAUCGGAAAUUAAGAAUGUGAAAGUUAAUUAACUGAUUUCUGCCAUUUAAAAAACAUUGAGAAGCUCAGGAACAGAUGGCUGUGACUGCAAAAUCUAUUUAUGCAACUUAGGUGAGGAAGAAGUAAAGAAACUUCAAGAUGAAAAAAAAAAAACUUGAAAUCAAUGCACCAAAUGAGACUUUUAUUCCAGUCUGGAAAACCAAAUCAAUUCC